rnacentral:rRNA from 2 species
GGGUUGUGAGGUUAAGCGACUAAGCGUACACGGUGGAUGCCCUGGCAGUCAGAGGCGAUGAAGGGCGUGCUAAUCUGCGAUAAGCGCCGGUAAGGUGAUAUGAACCGUUAUAACCGGCGAUACCCGAAUGGGGAAACCCAGUGUGAUUCGUCACACUAUCAUUAACUGAAUCCAUAGGUUAAUGAGGCG